GCUAUGAUGCCGGAGCUAGCUUGAGUAAAAUCCUGGCUCAGGCGGUGUACGUUCUACGUGCGUGAAUCAUUAUCAGAAAUCU
rfam:Citrobacter koseri ATCC BAA-895, complete genome.